rnacentral:lncRNA from 1 species
ACAAAUUAGAGGGUAAAAUUUUUUAGUGUUGUACAGGGGGGUUUUAGUACCUGUACAGGGGGGUUUCCACUUUGUACAGGGGGGUCAGGAGUUCUAAGAUGGAGGAAAGUGGUCCUUAUCUUAUUCUUCCUCCUUCUUCUUCCUUACCUCCAUGUUCUUGGUGAUGUUGGCAUUCACAGAUUGGUUUAGAGUAGAAAAUCACAUUGUAACGUAGAUAGUAGGUAUUGGGGAAAAUCUAUAAACAUAUAGUACGUAAUAUAUCAUAUAAAAGAUAGUAGCAGCUUUGGGCGGGGAGAGAGACGACGGAGACACCGGACAGUGAGGGUGUCAGGAGAGUGUGUGUGUCUCUGCCUGGGCCGCAGACCAAAGCAGCCGCAGCGGGCGAAGACAAUCUUUUAGAUAGCUAGCAAUAAACUACCUUGAGACCGGACAACAAGAGGCUGUGGAGUUUUUCUUUGGAAGCACGGGUUGGAGGAGAGACUUUACCACCACACGAGAGCCCCGAAUCAAUCCCGGGGUUCUCACAGGAGGGAAGAGAGAAAGUGUGGGCUUCUCUCCCCUUUGGGUGGGAUUUUCCCUAGCAUGUAGGGGUUGGGCCUUCCUCAGGCCCUUGACAGAGAUAAAGAGUUUUUUUCUUGUUUCCCUUUGUCUCUAAUCUCUUUUCAACAGUUUGUUGUUUGUUUUUCUAGAGGAAGCGUUCUAUGUAAGGUCCAGUCGGGAUCGGGAAGUGCCUGGGAGCAGCUGCAGCGUGGAUGGGCCGUGCCCUUGGAGAAGGCUGAGGACAUCGUUUGGGCAACAAGCACAAGGAGGCUCCUGCUCUGGGCAGCUGCUGAGGGCUGGAUGUGCCGUGGCUGGCUGCAGGCUGGGAAUGUCCUGCCCUCCUGCUCUGCUCCCAAAGGCAGCAGUGAUGGGCAGCUCUGGGCACAGCUCUGGGCACAGCCAGCAUGGCCUGGGCUCUGUGGGCAGCUGGGACAAGGGGACAGCAGCCUUCAGCUGACGGGCAGUUUCUGGUUUCUCUCCUUGCAGCCGGGCUCUGCGGGUGCUGAGGCUGCUCUGGGCUCUGCCAGGGCUCUGCUGGGCUCUGCCCUGGGCACAGCUGGGCUGGCUCUGCCCUCACAUUGCUCUGACAGCUUUGCAUCAGACAAGCCUAUUCCGAGCACAGUGCCUGAGCUUUCUGCUUUGGCAGACGUGCCACGAGUGGCCAAAGCUGGCAAGUGA